GCAUUUCUGCCCUGGGACGGUGAAAAUCUGAGACCAUGUUUGCUUGCCAAUGUCUGUAGCCUUCCAACAGUAGAAACUAUUAAUAGCGAAGGAACUUGCAGCUCAUCUGUCAUCACACAACCAUUUCUGGGCUUCGAGGCUGCCCUGGUUAGGCGAUGCCUCCCACAUCAACAGCUGGGGAGGAGUGGACAGAAAAGCUUCCAACCAUGCAACUUAGCCCAGAUAGCCCUUUCUCUUCAGGGACUGCCUGUUCACACAUUUGUCUUCUACUGGUCUGGUUCUGGGUCUGCUUGUUAGCAGGGCAUAUAUAAAUAUAUAUAUAUUUUGAAACUACCUGAGCCUUUAAAAAGAUCUUGCCUUAAGUAUUUUACGUUUUCAAGUGGCCACAGGGAUUCAGGCAGGCAUGUCCUUCCCGGGGACCUUUUUCCACGAAAGAAGCAACAUUUUUAUUUCUAAGUAUGGAAAGAUUCCAGGAUUCAUAUUUUAGAAGUCAGCUUCCAAAUGAACCUGGGUGGUUCUCAGAAUUAGCCAAGGUACUGGAGGAAAAACAGCUCGUGGAUUUUUAUUCUCCUAAUGUGUUUUAAAUUUGUUAUGUCAGGUUUAACAGAUACCACUUCAUUCUUUGUGCCUUCGGUUAGGAAAGUUGCUAACAUUUUUUUACGGGCUUAAUUCCCAGUUUUAAAAUGUUAUACUUUAAAAAAAACCAAACAACAACCAAAAUCUCCAGACCACUCACUGGUCCCUGCAGGGUGCGCCUGCUGUUUAAAGCCCCCAUGAAGAGGCUUGCAAAUAUUUUUGGUGCUGAACUCUGGUCUCUCCGACAGCAGGUGCUAGAACUGUGGUGGACAAGACCUGCAAGAUGUGACUUUUGCUUUUGAGACGGUGGAUGUCCUGUGACAGAUUGACUUGGUGACACUCGUGGCGAGCGUGGUGCUCGUUAAACCGUCAUGGCCGGAGAUGCAUUUUACCCUUGAACCCAUUAGGUUUUGAUACUUGAAACUUCUGCCUUUUAAAAAUUCCAAGAACAGUGUUGGGCUCCUCUGCUACCUUUCUGGACUGAGAAAAGUUCUGACGUAAAAUGCCACAAUAAAACCACCCUGCCUUUGGCUGUGAGGGCUCUGCACUGUGUUAGCAUUCAGGAGUGAGAAGCUCCCAGUGGCAUUUCCCUCAUUGCUUAACAAACUGUUCAAUUAGGUCAGCAAACCCUCCCCCCCCGCGGGGGGGGGGGCUCAUGGCAGCUCUGUCCUCGGCCCCUAUCCAGAGGGCAAGAGAAUCGUCCAGACUCUUCAAGUCAGGCCAGAAAUUUGGGGAGCACUGAUGUUCAGGAGCACGUAGAGAGUUUUACAGUCCGUGGGAAAGCCCCUCACUGGUCCGCAGGUUCUGGUUACAGAAAAGUAAAUGACGCAUCAUCAAAACUAAAAGAACCUGAAGGUGCCUUUAAGACACAUCAGCUCUAAGAGAUAGUUCUGCUUGGUUAAAUAAAUAAAUGAAUAAAUAAAUAAAACGCUGUAGAGAUAAUUCAGGGUGAACUUUCUGACCCUAAGACACACUUUAGGCCUGUUGAGAUGUUAAAACUGUGUUUGUCAAUUGUGCACUCGCUGAGUUGUGUUUUACUGCCUGUCACUUCAAGUUGUUUUACUCGAGCCUGAAUAUUAAAACGU
rnacentral:lncRNA from 1 species